rnacentral:tRNA from 1 species
UGUUUUAUGGUGUAAUUAACACGUUGUAUUUUCGUUACAAAGCUGAAGCUAAAGCUUCUAAAACAU